rnacentral:lncRNA from 1 species
UUCUUCUUCUUCGUCUUCGCCAUGGUCAGAGUCGGGGCUGGAGUCACCAGAUUGGAGUCAUAGUCCGACUCAGAGUCGGAGUAGAUGAAUCUCACCCGCGGCUCAGAACUGCCCGCGCGAGUUGCGCGCUUGGGUCCGAGCGUUGUGGCCGCGCUUGCUUCUUGCCAUGUUGGCCGCGGCCGCCGCCUCUAUGGAGAUCAGCCCGCCUCGAUGCCGCUGCCGCCGUGGAGAUGAGUUCGCCUCGACGCCGCCGCCGCGUGAGUGGGGAAGUUGACGAAUG